GUAAAUCUCUAUUAGUUUUUUUUUUAUAUUAGUUGUUAAUUUGUAUGUUAUGUACGAUACUUGUAUUGUUAGUAUUUUUAUAUUUUGUGUUGGCUAAUCAUGUAUUAGAGAAUUAUAUUUAAGUUUUUAGCCUAUUGUAGUAUUAUGUAUUGGAUAAUUAUGUUUUGAAAAUUUAUAGUUUUAUUUUUUAAAAAAAUUUUGAAAAUUCGUAAAAGCCCGGGCUCGGCCCGAGGCCCAGCCCAGGCCCGUCAAGGCCCGGCCCGCCCAAAGCCCGCCCAACUUGGAUGGGCUUUGAGAGGGUCUGGACUUAUUUAACAUUAUAUGGGCCUGGUCCUGGGCUUGGCAAAGCCCGGCCCAGGCCCUUAAAUUGCCAACCCUAGG
rnacentral:lncRNA from 1 species